GGGAAUGCUUCCCACAAUGGACGCAAGUCUGAUGGAGCAACGCCGCGUGAGUGAAGAAGGUUUUCGGACCGUAAAGCUCUGUUGUUGGUGAAGAAGGAUAGAGGUAGUAACUGGCCUUUAUUUGACGGUAAUCAACCAGAAAGUCACGGCUAACUACGUGCCAGCAGCCGCGGUAAUACGUAGGUGGCAAGCGUUGUCCGGAUUUAUUGGGCGUAAAGCGAGCGCAGGCGGAAGAAUAAGUCUGAUGUGAAAGCCCUCGGCUUAACCGAGGAAUUGCAUCGGAAACUGUUUUCUUGAGUGCAGAAGAGGAGAGUAGAACUCCAUGUGUAGCGGUGGAAUGCGUAGAUAUAUGGAAGAAUACCAGUGGCGAAGGCGGCUCUCUGGUCUGCAACUGACGCUGAGGCUCGAAAGCAUGGGUAGCGAACAGGAUUAGAUACCCUUGGUAGUCCAUGCCGUAAACGAUGAGUGCUAAGUGUUGGGAGGCUUCCGCCUGCUCAGUGCUGCAGCUAACGCAUUAAGCACUCCGCCUGGGGGA
rnacentral:rRNA from 1 species